rnacentral:lncRNA from 1 species
UCAAACAGAUUCCUUCCUCCCAGAGUUAGCACUGUAACUGAGGCCCUGAAGGCUGGUAAAGAACUGAUUGUCCCCUCAGACUGGUCACUCAACACUGGUCUGGCAGCUGCUACACUUCCCAACCUUUCUGGAGUUAUGUACGGCUAUAUGGCUAAGUUCUGCCCAAUGGGAUGUAAACAGAAGUAUGAACAAUAUCAGACAUGUUCUGAUACAUACUUUUCUCAACCUAGCAUGAGUUCUCACUCCAGC